rnacentral:rRNA from 2 species
UACGGAGGAUCCAAGCGUUAUCCGGAUUUAUUGGGUUUAAAGGGUGCGUAGGCGGCUUUUUAAGUCAGGGGUGAAAGACGGUAGCUUAACUAUCGCAGUGCCCUUGAUACUGAAGAGCUUGAAUAUACUUGAGGUAGGCGGAAUGUGACAAGUAGCGGUGAAAUGCAUAGAUAUGUCACAGAACACCAAUUGCGAAGGCAGCUUACUAAGGUAUGAUUGACGCUGAGGCACGAAAGCGUGGGGAUCAAACAGG